rfam:Naegleria gruberi genomic scaffold NAEGRscaffold_25, whole genome shotgun sequence.
CGUCUCGUGGUGUAAUGGUAGCAUAGUGGACUUUGAAUCCAUUGACGGAGGUUCGAUUCCUCCCGAGACGG